rnacentral:lncRNA from 1 species
NNNNNNNNNNUUUUUUUUUUUUUUUUUUUUUUUUAGUAAUAGCAUACACCUUUACAAUCAUUUUCAACAGUUUAAUUCAUUGUAAAUUAAAGAUUAUUAAAAAUAAUAUACACCAAUUUUUGCUUUAAAUAAAUAAGAUAAAAAAAUAAGAUAAAUAAGCCUUAAAAAAAAACAUAUAAAUUAUACAAAAUUAUUUUUGUAAAUUAUAAAAAUGCAAGAAAAUAAGAAAAGUGAACAGUUAUUGUUUCAAGAAGAAAACUGGAAAUGCGAAACUGAAAGUGAUGAUAGUAGUUUAGAAAUACAACAAAUAUAUAAAAAAAUAAAUGUGGUGGAAGGUAAAAGAGGUAGGAUAGUAAGGAUACUUUCUGAAUUUAUACAAGUUCAAAAUAUAUUAAGAGAUGAAAAUAUAUUUUUUACUGUUGUCAUGUUUGGAUCAGCCAGAUCGUAUAGCCAUGAGAGUUAUGAAUGUAGAAAAAACGAACUUGAAAAUAGGUUAAGCGAAAUUAAUGAAAAAAUCAAAAAAAAUAUAACAUUAGUUAAUGAAGAAAUAAAAGAAUAUGAAAAGUUACAAAAAGAUUUAGAGGCUUUACAAAAAUUAAAGUGGACUACUAAAUAUUAUAAUCAAAUUUAUGAAUUAUCAAAAAAGUUAACUUUAUUUUUUGCAACAGAUGAAGGAAAGCAGGCAGUAAAUAAAUUAUCUAUAUUAUUACCUAGGAAUCGCGAUUAUAUAAAAACUAAACACAUAGGAACAUAUAAAGGUAAGGAACAAUCGAAACAAUGGGAUGAACUGAAAUGCAAUGGUAAAGAUUCUAGUAACAUACAAAAUGAAAAAACAGUAUACAAUGUUGCUAUAUGUACUGGUGGUGGUCCAGGUUUUAUGGAAGCAGCAAAUAAAGGAAGUAAAGACGCAAAUGGAAAAUCUCUAGGUUUUAUGAUAUCAUUACCAUAUGAAAAAGAAGGUAAUAAAUAUAUUGAUAAACAUUUAUCUUUUAAAUUUCAUUAUUUUUUUACUAGAAAAUUUUGGUUAAUUUAUUUAUCAUUAGCAUUUAUUAUUUUUCCUGGCGGUUUUGGAACACUAGAUGAGUUAUUAGAAAUUUUAACGUUAAAACAGUGUAAAAAAUUAAAAAAAAAUGUACCUAUUGUUUUAUUUGGUAAAGAUUUUUGGGCUUCUAUUAUAAAUUUUAACAAAUUAGUUGAUUAUGGUCUAGUGUCACAAGAAGAUGUUGAUAAUAUUUUUGUUACAGAUUGUGUUGACGAAGCUUGUAAUUAUAUUAUUGAAUACUUGAAAAGUAAAAGUUUGGCAAAAAACACGUGACUGCUAUUUCAGUUUAUUUCUUUUUCAGAGAGCAAUCUACCUGACUGAUU